CAAAGGGUGCAUUGUGCAAGAUAUAGUUAGCGUGGUGAGAAAACUGUAAGGGGUUAUUCACCAGCUGUGUGUUUCUGUCAACACUUGCUGCAUAGAAAAUAUCCAGGCCUUCUGAUGGGGAGUGGAGAGGAACAUACGGGUGCAAGGAUGUGGGAGCGAGUCGACUUGUCAAGAAAACAGUGCUCAUUGUUUGGAGACUGGCAAUAGGAGAAGGUGAUCCACGGCAGAAGGGAGCAGAGCAGAACAGGGUGGGGAGACAGGUACACCCACAUCCCCGGGUCUUUUGGAAGAGAUGAUGUUCUAUGUCGGAGGGAUUGCCAUGACAGAAGAUAUUGCAUUCACUAUCACCAAAAACCUUCAGCAGGACUAUGUUCUUAUCUUAUGCUGCUUUGCAAAUUCCUCCUCCCCUAA